GCAGAAAACAAUAUGGCAUUAAAAGUCGCAAUUGUCGGUGUUCUUCUGGUUGCUCUUUUGAUUGCAACUAAUGUUUCCAGCGAAGAUAUAUCUCUGAGCGAAGAGGACUUUGGGGGAUUUCCAGAACCUAGUGCGUACCAGAAGUGCAUGUUUGAUAUGGGGGAUGAAUCAUUUUGCAGACAACUUAAACCCUUUGAGCAAUGGACUGAAGAGCAAUGAAACGCGAGAUAAAUGGGAUAGAAAGCUGCCCAUUCUUCUGGAUCAACAUGCAG